rnacentral:sRNA from 1 species
UUAAUAGCAGAAACUAAUAAUGUGUAAAGCACUGCCCCACAGCUCUGGUGGCAGCCUGGUGCUCAGUCAUAUUGCCUCAUCCCUGACCUGGAUAGACCAUAUCCAGGGGUAAGAGUACAACUUAUUAAUAGCUGUUAGUUUAACAAAUUGCAUAA